rnacentral:rRNA from 1 species
GGGCCCGCACAAGCGGUGGAGCAUGUGGUUCAAUUCGACGCAACGCGAAGAACCUUACCCAGGCUCGAACGGCAUUGGACAUCCUGCGAAAGCAGGCUCCCGCAAGGGCCGAUGUCGAGGUGCUGCAUGGCUGUCGUCAGCUCGUGUCGUGAGAUGUUGGGUUAAGUCCCGCAACGAGCGCAACCCUUGUCCGCUGUUGCCAUCACGUUAUGGUGGGCACUCUGCGGAGACUGCCGGUGAUAAACCGGAGGAAGGUGGGGAUGACGUCAAGUCAGCAUGGCCUUUAUGUCUGGGGCUACACACGUGCUACAAUGGCCGGUACAAACCGUCGCGAUACCGUAAGGUGGAGCUAAUCGGAGAAAGCCGGUCUCAGUUCGGAUUGCAGGCUGCAACUCGCCUGCAUGAAGUUGGAAUCGCUAGUAAUCGCGGAUCAGCACGCCGCGGUGAAUACGUUCCCGGGCCUU